GUCACUUAGUUUUGGAAAUUGACGGAGAUCCGACCGUUGGAUGGUAAUGAAAUUUUAGGAUGUUAUCCUAGAGAUAUAUUGUGGACCUCUGGAAGUUAUGGAUUUAAAAUCUGAGUGGCAGAUCUUCCGGAUCGAUCAACAUAGUGACGUAUUUAUAUAAGUUAUAUUCUAUCGAUAUGAAUUCUGAGGUUGGAAUUAAUUAUUGUUUUAGGCGCCGAUCGUCAUGACGCCUUGAUGUGUGGUGCUAGGGAGUUGUAGGGCGAACUCCAGGUGAGUGGGCAGUUUUGUUUUCCGUAUAUAUAUAUACUUGACGUUUCCCAGAAAUUGAAUUGAAAUGAAAAUAUGUUUUAAAAUGAAAUGCAUAUAUGAGUUAUGUGGAAAAACGGGAAGUGAAAUACCAUGCAUAGAAUUGAUAUGAAAAGUAUAUAGAAAUGUGAGUUGAAAUGCCAUGCAUGAAUUAAUAUAUGAUGCAUAUGUAUGAAUUGGUGCGGUGGACGCACAAGUAAGAAUUGAUUUAUGAUGCAUAUGUAUGAAUUGGUGCGGUGGACGCACAUGUAAGAAUUGAUUUAUGAUGCAUAUGUAUGAAAUGGUGCGGUGGACGCACAGAUGAGUAUUUAAUUACUGUUAUGAUGAUGAUGAUAUAUAUUGAGCUCAAAUCCUGCACCAUGGUUUAGUGCUUAUAGUAUUCACCGCAUCGCACGCUCGCCUUGGAUCCAAGUAGAUGCUAGUCGUACAGUCCACGCGGAGUGGGUACGACAGACCAGUCGCGAGAGUGUUAGUGAGAUUCCGACUGGUGGGUGACCUUAGAUUAUGUGCACAGAUGAUUUAUGAGAAGCACUAGAGCGUAACUUGUGUGCAGAAGGCCGGACGGGUCACAGAGGUGACUCCGGUAGAGUGAUAAUGAUAGAUUUUGAGCUCUAGGUUCAACCGUAUAGGGCUAUUAGAGGGCCUACGGUUGAUUACUUUCUUGCACCUGAUAUGAUUAUGUUGAUGCAUUCAUACCUUAUUACUGUUGAGAUGAUGUGGCAUGGCAAUAAUUAAUAUGAGAAAUGUUGAGAUGACAUGGCAUGGCAUGAUUGAUAAAGAGAUAAUGUUGAGAUAGUAAAAAUGAAGUUUUUGAGAAUAUAUAUGUAUAUUUAUAUUUUACAUUUCUGGGAAAGUAUAUACAGGUUUUACGGAGAGGGGUUACAACGUUUUGAGAAAUGUUUGGAUUUGGAAAAGAAUUGUUUUACUGACCCACUCAAUUUUGGUUUUGCGCCCCUCCAGGUUCAGGAAUCACAAAGGUGUGGUGACUACGAGGAAUUCGACGGUGUUCUGACAGAUUGGACAAAAUUAGGACUCACCUUCGGGUGUAUCAACUUAUAAAUUGUAUAAUUAAAGCUUCCGUACUGUGCAAAUGGUUACGUCACUCUCACGUGACGGCCAGCAUGCCCUCCUUCGGGACCGGGUGUGUCAGUUGGUAUCAGAGCAUGGUUGCAAUCUUGGACAUCUUGAGAAGUUUCUAGUGAAUUCUGUCAGAACUACACCGCCUCGUAGCAAACCACGUAGUUAGAGGAACUUAGUCUCCUUGAUUUAGCGGGUUAGGGGAAACUAUUCUUAUGGUGAUUCAGUAUAUUAGAAAAAUGGACAUUUUAAGACGGGUUAUGAGUUGAAUUUGAAUCACUUAAGAGAAAUGAUGAACCUGAGGGAACAAAGUGACGGAUUAACCAAUUGGAAAAGAUGUUUCGGAAUAUGCAAGUCAAAGGAAUCUUCCUUCUGACAAGGGGUCGAGACGACUACCUGGUUUUGGUUAUGAAUUUGUAUCCUGGUGGAAACAGGAGUAUGAAUUGUUGUCACCAGAGGAAUCAGUCGAUUGAGAAUUGUUUAAGGACUUGUUUAAAGGAAAAGUUUAUCCCUCCGGCAUUUAUCGAUGGUAGUAAACAAGAGUUUACAAAUAUGAGACAAGGAAGGUGAUGAUCGAGGGAUAUUAUAGAAAGUUUUCAGACUAGCCUCGUUCCAUCCAGAUAUUGUUGUUAAUUUGGUGGAGGUGUUAUGUUGUUUUAAGCUGGGUGACAAAAGGGAAGUGGUAUUUUGGGUGACCACUAUCCAUUGUAGUUCUUAUCAGGAGUAUGCUAGAUGUUGUUGAAUCUUGAGGACUCUGAGAACAUGAGCAACGAGAAUAAAGAAGAAUAAGAAAUGAAUGGGAAUUAAAAGAAGACGAUAAAGUUAAUGAUUCGUCAUAUCAAGGAUAUAGAAAGAUUCAGAGCUUCGAAAGAAGUGAAGCUAGAGUUAAUUCUUCCAGCUGAGGUUUAAUGUCGCUGGUCAGAAUAAAAGUGAUGGAUAUACUGGUAAUCCCAGAUAUUUGAGACAAGGUGUCUCGAGUAAAGGAAAUGUACCUUGUGCAGCAGGUACAAAAUUAACACUUUGGGAAAUGUGAAAUUAAUGAAUGUGUUUAUGUGAACAGAAGGGACACAGAGUUGUGAAUCGUCCCUAGAAUCAGUUGUACUCAACAAUUUUCCAUGAAAUCAUAGUGUCGAUUCAGCAGAGUUAUGGAUUUAGUAGUUUGGUCGGAUUGACCGUGAGUACAGAGAUAUUUGAUGAGUUAUAUGUUCAGCCGUACGGACCAUGAGAAAUGGAUUUGACUGACACAUGAGAAAUUGGUGAGUUAUAGGCUCGGCCGUGCCGACCACGCGGAGUGGAUCUGGCCGACGUAUUAUUGAGAUAAGAGUUGAAUCAACCGUAUUGGUUAUUCUAGUUGACUUCGGCUGAUAUAUUUCUUAUUAUGUAUGUUAUUACCUAGAGAGUAGUAAAUAAAUGUAGUUGAGACGAGUGUAUGUAUUUUGCAUUGAGUGACAAAAUAGUAAUGUUAUAUCUUUGUGAGUGGUUGCCUACUUAUCGAGACAACGAUGAUUUAUCAGUAUUGCGGGCUGCAGACCGUAAUAUUAAUAACUCAUUCGUGGAUUCGUUAAGCAAGCAAACCGGUAGAUUAUUUUAUGUUAGUAUUGUACUUAUUUGGAAUGCUUAAUAAUAAUAGAAUAUAUAUUGUAUCAGUUAAUUCUGUUCCAUUAGAUUGGUUGGUUAUAAUUGUGACAAGACGAAAUGUUAUGGGAAACCAGUACUUUCCAUCGAUCUGGAUGAACAGAGAUUACUUUUGUAAGUAUGCAAAAUGGAUUGAGUCAGGCUGUUAUUUAUGCUGUGAGAGCAAAGAGAUUGUUUUCGAAAGGCUGUCAAAAAUACUUAGCUCAUGUGGUGCUAAAUGAUGUUGUUUGGAGUAGUGUGAAUAAUGUCAAAAGAGUUCUUGCGGGCCCUGAGACUAUGGAUGAGUCUCCUCAAAGUAUUCAGGUGAUUAAGUUAACCUGAAGUAACCAGGAAUGGCAAAAGAGAUAAUGGCAAAAGAGAUAAUGGCAAAAGAGACUAACAGAUGGAUAUGCCACUAAUCGAGUGUGUAAGGGAAAUGGUUUGAUAUUUUUGGAAAUUUCACCACGAACAGAAAUGGCGAGAAUUGGAAAGGAGACAAGAUAAGAUUUAGACACAUCAGACCAUUUUUUAUCACUAAAGGAAUCAAUAAAGUUGCAUACAAGUGGUGAUGUCUUCAGAGUUGGCUAAGGUACUUAAUGUAUUUUGGGUUCGAUGCGUUGUCACUAGGUGGCAGAGUCGUUACAUGGGACCUUGGUGCAACUAUUGAGAAUUAAGCCGGAUCUGAUUGGUGAGGAACUAAUGUCGACUUUGGAUUGGAAAAAGAAGGUCCUAAGAAUUAAGACAGAGUAAGUAGUAAAAGCUUUGUGAAGGAAAUCAUUCAGUAGAAAAUUGUGUGGGAGAAAGAGAAUCGGAUGAGAGAGAUUUAUCCGAGGCUAUUGUAUGAGUAUAGAUGAUUUAGUUGGUUGCUGGAAUUUCGGGGACGAAAUUCUAUAAGGAGGGAAGAUUGUCACAGCCCGUUCCAAAAUAUUACAUUCGUGGCUGUGAAUGGACGAAAUUGCCCUUAUGAAAUACUAAGUAUGUGAAGCUCAAGUUGAUAAUUAUCUAGGUUCCUAAGUUUUGAAAAUAAAAUGGAAUUUAAUAAGGAUGAAACUUAGAUUUUUUAGGUUAAAAUUGUGUGGUUUGGAGUUGGGGAUUGGAAAAGGACCACAUGGGAUCCCCACACCCCUCAAUCCUCUCCCUAUUUUCUGCAUACUGUCUCUCUCUCUCCUCCCUCACGAAUCUCUCUCUCUCUCUGUCACUCUUCUUCUCCGUUCGAACAAACCAACCACAAAACAACCUUAAACUUCCACCAACGACGGAGUUAAGACCACCAUCAAACUCUUGGAACCUCCACGAUCACGAUGGUAUCCAUUUCAGGUAAGUUUUGCUUCGGAAAACCCUAGUUUUCAAAGUACCCGUGAAAUGGCACUGUUCAUAAACUCUUAAAUGGUGGUGUUUUAGCUUAAAACAAGAUCACAGUGAGCUUUAGGAUGUCCCAAGGAAGCUCGGAGUGCUUCGUUGGAAGUUUUCGGACGUAAGAACACGGAGAUCGACAAGUUCAAAGUUUGGCCGGAGCUUUCGAGGCGUUUUCCGGCGAAUCCCCGGCGAUUUAGGAGUCGAGGUAGGUAUUAAUCUCUUCGUCUCAUCAAGUACUACAACUUUCCUUUUUGUUUCACUCAAUUUCGUUGAGUAUUGAAGAAGUUAUACUCAUUUGAAAAAUACCCAGUUUCCGGCGACCUCCGAGGCUUUCGAGGCAGUUUCCGGCCAAACCACGGCGAACUAGGUAUUGUGCAAGGUACCAUUCUCUUUGUCUCUUCAAGGGCUACAACUUUCGUUUUUGAAUCACUUGAUUUCGUUGAGAAAUGACAAAGUUAUGGCAAUUUGAAAAACUGCCCAGAAAACGGCCGCCGGAAAAACCAGUCCGGCGACCCAAGGAAGAAGAAGGUGCUACAGUAAAAAAAAAUAAAAAUAAAAUUAUUUUAAAAAUAUGUCGACGUCCGUGACGUCGAGUAGAUCACUGUGGUAUAUUCAUAUACCUAAAUUGAACACCGUAUGAGAAAGUUAUUGAAGAUUGUUGGUUAGGUGUUCAAAUAACGUUUUAUAGUUUUCACAUUUAGGUGAAAAUGUGAAUUGAUGAUCCGACCGUUGGAUCAUCACCAAAAUUUGAUACGUUAUAGUACGUAAUAUUUGAGGAUUAUUGGAACUUACGGAUUGGGAAUCCGAGUUACGGAUCUUCCGGAAUUGGAAUUGUAAGUCCAUAAUAUAAAAUGUUAACCGUCACUUAGUUUUGGAAAUUGACGGAGAUCCGACCGUUGGAUGGUAAUGAAAUUUUAGGAUGUUAUCCUAGAGAUAUAUUGUGGACCUCUGGAAGUUAUGGAUUUAAAAUCUGAGUGGCAGAUCUUCCGGAUCGAUCAACAUAGUGACGUAUUUUAUAUAAGUUAUAUUCUAUCGAUAUGAAUUCUGAGGUUGGAAUUAAUUAUUGUUUUAGGCGCCGAUCGUCAUGACGCCUUGAUGUGUGGUGCUAGGGAGUUGUAGGGCGAACUCCAGGUGAGUGGGCAGUUUUGUUUUCCGUAUAUAUAUAUACUUGACGUUUCCCAGAAAUUGAAUUG
rnacentral:lncRNA from 1 species